rnacentral:lncRNA from 1 species
CAUUUCCCUAACAGGACCGAGGCGCUGUCCAAGGAACCCCAAUGGCUGUCACUGUGUCCUCCUAAACCUCCACUCGCGUCCCGACGACUAGAAGCAGUGGCAGAAUUUCCAGUCAAACUGGGUUGCUGCUGAGGAAACGCAGUCACCUCCUGGGAUGCAAUGCAAAACAUGAAAUAACGCACAGCACCGGGUCCCUGUGAACCCUUCCCAGAAUCCUACAUCCAUGUUCUAGAAGCUUCCAAGUGGUACGACAGCUGAUAGUGGUAGUAUGGUUAGUUCUCCUGCCUUUGAAUCCAUAGGUUGCUGUUUUGAAUCUCGCCUUGUUCUGUAAUACCCUUUAGCAAGGAUCUCAUCCUAAAUUGCUCCGAUAAAAAAAAAAUUACCCGGCUGUAUAAACAGGUAAAUAAUUGAAAGUAGCUUAACAUUGUACCUCUCUUUGGACAAAAGCGUCAGCUAAAUAAAUGUAAAUGUAGUUGAGCUUCA